CAACAGUGAUUCCCGUACGAUCACCGAAGUUAAGCAAUGUCGAACAUCGCUAAUACGUAGAUGGGUGAACGCCUGGGAAUACCAGAUGCUGUAAG